GCGUGGGGUCCAAACAGGAUUAGAUACCCUGGUAGUCCACGCCGUAACGAUGAGUGUAAGUGUUAGGGGGUUUCCGCCCCUUAGUGUGCAGCUAACGCAUUAAGCACUCCGCCUGGGGAUACGACCGCAAGGUUGAAACUCAAAGGAAUUGACGGGGACCCGCACAAGCGGUGGAGCAUGUGGUUUAAUUGGAAGCAACGGAAGACCCUUACCAAUCUUGACAUCCUUUGGCCCCUUCUAGAGAUAGAGUUUUCCCCUUCGGGGGACAGAGUGACAGGUGGUGCAUGGUUGUCGUCAGCUCGUGUCGUGAGAUGUUGGGUUAAGUCCCGCAACGAGCGCAACCCUUAAGCUUAGUUGCCAUCAUUAAGUUGGGCACUCUAAGUUGACUGCCGGUGACAAACCGGAGGAAGGUGGGGAUGACGUCAAAUCAUCAUGCCCCUUAUGAUUUGGGCUACACACGUGCUACAAUGGACAAUACAAAGGGAGCGAAACCGCGAGGUCAAGCAAAUCCCAUAAAGUUGUUCUCAGUUCGGAUUGUAGUCUGCAACUCGACUAUAUGAAGCUGGAAUCGCUAGUAAUCGUAGAUCAGCAUGCUACGGUGAAUACGUUCCCGGGUCUUGUACACACCGCCCGUCACACCACGAGAGUUUGUAACACCCGAAGCCGGUGGAGUAACCAUUUGGAGCUAGCCGUCGAAGGUGGGACAAAUGAUUGGGGGUU
rnacentral:rRNA from 1 species